CCCAAAUAUGCCAUCUUUUAGUUGGAACCAAAUAUCGAAUGUGCUGAAAAAGGCAGGCUUUAAAUUGGCUGUGCAUGGUGGCAGGACUGAUCGAGUGCAGGACUUCAAGACGAGCCUGGGCAACAUGGCCACCAAUCAGUUUGAAAAUUUUUGUGGGACACAUGUCUUUAUUUAAAGUCUUUCCAAUGCUUUGGGACUUCUUUUCUUUGGC